rnacentral:lncRNA from 1 species
AAGGGAGCUACCAUUUGAUUUUUAUGGGGGGGCUAGGAUGAAAAAUUUUGUCCUGCAUUUUUUUUUUAGCUGUAAUCUCUGUCCUGCCUUUUUAUUUUUCACUCUGUUCGGUCCUGUCUUUUUUUUUUUAGUUUAACCUGACUUUUUUUUUUACCUAAAUUGUCGUCCUGACUUUUUUUUUUUUUUGCAAGUGUCUCAUCCUGCCUUUUUUUUACUCAAAACUCCUGUCCUGCCUAUUUUUUUCAAAUUUCAUCCUAGCCCCCCCCUAAAAAUCAAAUGGUAGCUCCCUAAAAUGUAAACAUCAUUGAAAAAGUUCCAAAUUAUCUCCCUUUGGUGGAAAAAUGCCAUUUUUUGGCUUUAAAAUUGAAAUAUCUCUUUUAACUCAUCGGUGACCUAUAUUUUUUAAUAUAAUUUCGAUAUAUGCUGUACUUAAACUAAAUUAUUGUAAAAUUUGAGCGAUUUCUGUAAUAAAUUU